GAUGAACGCUGGCGGCGUGCCUAAUACAUGCAAGUCGAGCGAACAGACGAGGAGCUUGCUCCUCUGACGUUAGCGGCGGACGGGUGAGUAACACGUGGAUAACCUACCUAUAAGACUGGGAUAACUUCGGGAAACCGGAGCUAAUACCGGAUAAUAUAUUGAACCGCAUGGUUCAAUAGUGAAAGACGGUUUUGCUGUCACUUAUAGAUGGAUCCGCGCCGCAUUAGCUAGUUGGUAAGGUAACGGCUUACCAAGGCAACGAUGCGUAGCCGACCUGAGAGGGUGAUCGGCCACACUGGAACUGAGACAGGGUCCAGACUCCUACGGGAGGCAGCAGUAGGGAAUCUUCCGCAAUGGGCGAAAGCCUGACGGAGCAACGCCGCGUGAGUGAUGAAGGUCUUCGGAUCGUAAAACUCUGUUAUGAGGGAAGAACAAAUGUGUAAGUAACUAUGCACGUCUUGACGGUACCUAAUCAGAAAGCCACGGCUAACUACGUG
rnacentral:rRNA from 1 species